GAUGAACGCUGGCGGCGUGCCUAAUACAUGCAAGUCGAGCGAACAGACGAGGAGCUUGCUCCUCUGACAUUAGCGGCGGACGGGUGAGUAACACGUGGAUAACCUACCUAUAAGACUGGGAUAACUUCGGGAAACCGGAGCUAAUACCGGAUAAUAUAUUGAACCGCAUGGUUCAAUAGUGAAAGACGGUUUUGCUGUCACUUAUAGAUGGAUCCGCGCCGCAUUAGCUAGUUGGUAAGGUAACGGCUUACCAAGGCGACGAUGCGUAGCCGACCUGAGAGGGUGAUCGGCCACACUGGAACUGAGACACGGUCCAGACUCCUACGGGAGGCAGCAGUAGGGAAUCUUCCGCAAUGGGCGAAAGCCUGACGGAGCAACGCCGCGUGAGUGAUGAAGGUCUUCGGAUCGUAAAACGCUGUUAUUAGGGAAGAACAAAUGUGUAAGUAACUAUGCACGUCUGACGGUACCUAAUCAGAAAGCCACGGCUAACUACGUG
rnacentral:rRNA from 1 species